rnacentral:rRNA from 1 species
UACGUAGGUGGCAAGCGUUGUCCGGAUUUACUGGGCGUAAAGAGCGCGCAGGCGGUCGUUCAAGUCGCGUGUGAAAGCCCCCGGCUCAACUGGGGAGGGUCACGCGAUACUGAUCGACUGGAAGGCAGGAGAGGGUAGUGGAAUUCCCGGUGUAGUGGUGAAAUGCGUAGAGAUGUGGAGGAACACCAGUGGCGAAGGCGACUCUUUGGUCUGUAACUGACGCUGAGGCGCGAAAGCGUGGGGAGCAAACAGG